GAUGAACGCUGGCGGCGUGCCUAAUACAUGCAAGUCGAGCGAAUGGAUUAAGAGCUUGCUCUUAUGAAGUUAGCGGCGGACGGGUGAGUAACACGUGGGUAACCUGCCCAUAAGACUGGGAUAACUCCGGGAAACCGGGGCUAAUACCGGAUAACAUUUUGAACCGCAUGGUUCGAAAUUGAAAGGCGGCUUCGGCUGUCACUUAUGGAUGGACCCGCGUCACAUUAGCUAGUUGGUGAGGUAACGGCUCACCAAGGCAACGAUGCGUAGCCGACCUGCGAGAGUGAUCGGCAACACUGGGACUGAAACACGGCACAGACUACUACGGGAGGGAGCAGUAGGGAAUCUUCCGAAAUGGACGAGAGGCUGACGGAGCAACGCCGCGUGAGUGAUGAAGGCUUUCGGGUCGUAAAACUCUGUUGUUAGGGAAGAACAAGUGCUAGUUGAAUAAGCUGGCACCUUGACGGUACCUAACCAGAAAGCCACGGCUAACUACGUGCCAGCAGCCGCAGUAA
rnacentral:rRNA from 1 species